ACAAGUAGGGUUCCACAAGGGGCAUUACAAUUCAGGUUUGUGGUUACUUCAGGGUAUGAUGGAAAAUGGGUUUGGGCAAAGAAGGUUCUACCAGCUGAUUGGAAAGUUGGGGUGAUUUAUAAUUCUGAUGUUCAGAUUACAGAAGUUGCACAAGAGGGUUGUUCACCAUGUAAUGAUGAAACAUGGUGAUGAUUUAGGAUAUGUUACUCAAGUGAUGAAUUAAUUAACCUACAUAACAUGUACAUAUUGAUUUUUGUUUUUAGGUGGUUUUAGUUUUAUUUACACUGUGUAUUAUAGGAUUAGAA
rnacentral:lncRNA from 1 species